AGUGAACGCUGGCGGCGUGCCUAAUACAUGCAAGUCGAACGGAGAUUAAGUAGCUUGCUAUUUAAUCUUAGUGGCGCACGGGUGAGUAAUAUAUAGCUAACUUGCCCAUUACUAAGGGACAACAGUUGGAAACGACUGCUAAUACCUUAUACUCCGUAUCUAUAUAAGUAGAUACGGGAAAGUUUUUCGGUAAUGGAUAGGGCUAUAUCGUAUCAGCUAGUUGGUAAGGUAAUGGCUUACCAAGGCUAUGACGCGUAACUGGUCUGAGAGGAUGAUCAGUCACACUGGAAGUGAGACACGGGUCAGACUCCUACGGGAGGCAGCAGUAGGGAAUAUGGCUCAAUGGGGGAAACCCUGAAGCAGCAACGCCGCGUGGAGGAUGACACUUUUCGGAGAGUAAACUUCUUUUCUUGGGAAAGAAUUAUGACGGUACCCAAGGAAUAAGCACCGGCUAACUCCGUG
rnacentral:rRNA from 1 species